UACGUAGGGUGCGAGCGUUGUCCGGAUUUAUUGGGCGUAAAGAGCUCGUAGGCGGUUUGUCGCGUCGGCCGUGAAAUCUCCACGCUUAACGUGGAGCGUGCGGUCGAUACGGGCAGACUUGAGUUCGGUAGGGGAGACUGGAAUUCCUGGUGUAGCGGUGAAAUGCGCAGAUAUCAGGAGGAACACCGGUGGCGAAGGCGGGUCUCUGGGCCGAAACUGACGCUGGAGGAGCGGAAAGCCGUGGGGAGCGAAACAGG
rnacentral:rRNA from 1 species